CGAAAUCAACCCCAAUAACCAGAAAAAAGGCAGUCUGUUUGUCGCCGGAUUUUAACAUCUUCCGGCGAGGCUUCUAUGUCGAGGUUUCAGUUCGUUAGUUUCGGUGUUUCAGCUUGCCGAUCAUGGCUCUAUUUGGGACGAUCGAUUUGUAAACUUCCAAAUUUGUUCAUCAACAUAGAGGUUCAUCUUUAACCUUUGUUUUGAGUUAGUAUUGGUUAAUAUCCUUUUUGGGCUUGAAUAAACGUUAAGCAUUUUACAAAUUUUGUUUAAUCCUUUGUGUUUUAGCUUUGUGUUUAUAUUAUUGGUAUCUCGAAUUGG
rnacentral:lncRNA from 1 species